CAGAACUCUCUCAGCCCCACCUACCUCCCAAGAUGUCUGUUGUGGGGAGAGGAAGGGAAAGGAGCUUUCAGGAGAGAAAGGUGGGAUAUAAAUACAAAAUCACCUUUUUCUACCCAUUACUUCUCCCCAUCCAGUCUUUCUCCUGCCAGAUAACACAGAGCCUCCACAGAGAGAAAUGACUCAUGGCCAAGUGAUUUUGCAAAGCAGUGUUCAUUUACUAUCCUGCUUUGAUUCAUAGGACUUGCUUGUAUUGGAACAAUCUGCCUUCAAAUGUCUUUUGGCCCUCAAAAGUGUUGAAUGCAGGCUGCAUUUAUUCCAGUGGCCCUGGCCUCCAGAAAUGCCUAGCAGAGAGCAUUCGUGCUUAGCAAAUGUGUCUGAGUCUCAAGAGCAGCAUGAUCUCUGGUGGUUUCUGGCUCUUGUCCAUCACAGCACCAUUUUAGGCUUUGCUUGUGAGGGUGAGCAAGUCCCAGGUUAACAUUUACAGACUUUGCCUCAAAACUAAGUUGUUCAUCUUGUGCUUAGUCUGAUGCGCUUUCCCCCAAAACUAUCAAAAUUUGUUGAUUAACAUAUAAUCAGCUCUGAAGAUGUAUCUGGGUAUAAGUAAUGCAGCCAUAAUUCAUUUUUAAAAAUCUUUUAAAAUUGAAGGGCGCUCUCUCUCCACAAAUGCCCAGACACCAUUAAGGAAAUUAAUUGAAAGAAACCUAUUGAAAGGGGUGGGUGGGGGCAAAGACGCUAUCUCUUGCAUUAAGCAGUGUCCUCUGGUGCAAAUAAAUAAAAGUGUUUUAGAUGUAGUUUCUGUGCUCAGUCACUGUCAGUAUGCAGAUUCCAAAAGCACUGAACCUCUGUCUCUCAUAUGCAUUGCAGCACGCAGUAGCAAACAGAAACCAAUUCUAAGUGCCAAGAAUGUAGUUUCCCCUAUGCAGGUACUACAGAUUUCCUCAGUUAAAAGUACUGAGGUAUUUAAACCAUUGAGCUGCAAAACGACUAGUGGGAUUUUUUAAAAAAAUAAACAUGAUGCAUGCUUGAAAUUUUUAAACUAAGGUUCUGCCAGAGUGUGUUGUGUGUGUUUUUGUGUGCGCGCAUGUGUGUUUUAAUUUAUCCUCCAUAGCUGCCUUGGGAAACAUCACUACCUGUGGUGCAUAUGGACACUUUGGUGUCCCAUUAAUAUUCUAGUGCCAUGCAUGUAAAUAAAUAGUGGAUGGUAGCUGACUGUUUUAUUUCUUUUAAUGUAUAUAAAGAUUUAAAACCAUGAGCCUGAUCCAUUCCUAUGUGGGCACUGCAAUGCUGCCCUCUUCCAUUCCUUGUUUGUCUGCGGAGGGUGCAGCCUGCCAGUAGUUAGUCUCAUUGGGGGGGGUCCUUAAUUGUAGUAAGUCAUAAGUUGGAGGAGAGAGCGACUGGAUUUGUAAGUAUAAGGUGUGGAUGAACUACAGGUAACAGCCACCAACUGUUGUGUAUGCACAGGCAGCAUCUGCUGGGGAAUGGAUCAUGCCCUGUGCAAGUUAUUUUAAGGGAUCGACAAACAGAGAGGAAGGGUGUACAUCUCAGUAUAUGCGCAAAAGACAUCCAUAAUGGCUUGAAGAGUCUGGUAUCGCUUCCAGCCUACGUCUUGCCAUUUGUAACACCCUCCUUUGAUUUUCAAAACCAUUUCCUAAACCAUAUGGCUAAAAACAUAUUCUGGAUAUAUUUCAGUUGUUACAAGAAGAAAGAAGGAUAAUAAUACACUGAGAACAACAUGGGCUGGUUCAAGAUGUCCCUGUGUUUUGGUUUUUCAGGCAGUGUGUGUGUCAACUAAGGUUUGUAUUCAGAACUGAACAGAGAUCUAUCAGAAUGGCUAUCUUAGAAUCUAGUCCGCCUGCACGCAAGUACCUCUCUGAGACACAGUGAUCUGAGGCCCAGAUCUACCAACUUAUUCUCCCAUUUCAUGCACUGGCCAAAUAGAAGAUGACUUUUUAGUCUGAAGUCUGCUUUUUAGUUACUCAGACUUGGGGCUUCAACUGGUGAAAUACUGGGUGCUCUCAGGUAGAACUAGACACUGUCAAGUUCCCAUGUCAAGUUCUUUUUUUCUCCUCCUACCUGUGCUGUGACAUCAUGUCCGUUUCUUCCCCAGUCCAUAUCAUUGGCUGGUACUCUCCAAUACCUGCUUGCUGUCGCUUAUUCCCGAUUCACUGUGCAAGAAUUACAUACCCUCUGUAAGUUUUGUUGAAGCUUACUUGGUUCAGCAUGACUUAUCAAAGGUGUAUCCAGACAUACCGCUGGACCAUUUAAUAAUCCUCCAGACUGGUGUUUGACUGCAGGACUAGCAUUGCCAUCUGUUAACAAUAUUGUGAAUUAAUAGCGUGAGCAUCGCCAAGUGCCUAAUAAGACUGUAGUCAAUGGAUUAAUGUCUUAAGGGUAUGUUAAUUUUUCAUAAUGCUAAAUUAGCUUUUUUUUUUGAAGAGUAUGAUAAUUGACUCUGUCAAGCACUUAAAAAUUUUAUGGUCGUUCCAAUAUUUUAAUACUCUAAUAAAGCCUUAAAUUUAAGUAGGGAAAUACAAUUUUUUCAUCAUUUCCUUUUUGCCAAGAGGUUUAGAGUUGGGGCAGAAGUGCUGGCAAAAAACCCCCCAAACAGCUAUAAAAGUAACAGACAUCUUAGAUUUAUUAUGCACUUUUGUCAACUUCCUGGGACACAAGCAGCCCUACUUCUGAAUAAACACACAGAGGAGUAGACCGUUUCAUUGGGUUGCUCGGAUUCUUCCCACAGGCUGAUGGACCAAUCUAGAUUAUUGAAAUCAUUUUCAGUUUGACCCUGCAACCCAACUGGACGUUAGCUCCACUCUGCUGCCUGUGGCUUCCAUUUUGCAAGAUCCAACUGAAACCCUUUGGGUGAAGUGAAAUGAUGUUUUCGUGAGUGCUUGUUUGAUUGAAAUCAGUUGAUUAGAAACCUGGUCUGAAUCUUCUGUUAAUGUACCUCAGAUCCCCCCCCCCCCCCCCAAUAUAUAUCCUAGGUCUAGGACUAUUUCCUGAAACAGUGUUGAGGUUUUUUGUUUCAGAUGUAAAAGUGGCUGUGGGCAGUGUGAGUGGGCUUAGAAAGAGCAAUGGAUUGGGGGUGGGAGUGAAGGUCUGGUUGUGUUGUCGUAUAGUAAAACAAGAAGAAACCCUUCCUUAAUGUAGGGACAUUUCUAUUACUGGGGCUGUAAUGUCCAGUCCUUUCGGCUGGAGAUUGCUCUGAUGUUUUAGAAUAAGUAAAAAGAGUUCCCCUCCUAGUGUCUCACAGUUUUUUCACUUACACUGCUGUCUCAACACCUGCCCCACCCCACCCCACCCCAAGGAAAAACAAGAAUUAGGGUUACAUUUGGCCUAGAGAUAACUGCUUUUCAAAACCACCCUGAGAUUUCUGCUACUGUAAACUAACAGGCUGAUAUUUCUCUGGUGUGGUUCAUAAGAGUUUUACCCAAGGCCAAAAACUAGCAAGGGCAAUUCAGCUAAGCUAUGUGUGCAUUGCUGCUUAAAUCAGAAUCCCAUUUGUUGUCACUUCGUGAGAUCAUGAAUGUAAACUCUCACAUUACUCAAGAUAAACUUGGUGCAGAAAGCAUGGAUGGAUCUUUCUAGGCAUUGCUUUAUGUGAAGAAUUCUCAAGCUAGUGUUGGUGUCUGGCAUUUGCUUCUACCCUUCAUCUCCCGAUUUAUUAACAGGAUCUCAUAGGCUUUGCUUGAACUUGGUAAUCCAGCUAUGGGCGGUAUUCCAUAAAGGGGUAGAUCUGUGAGGCCUUGAAGUAUUAACUAGAGGGAGAGAGUGUGUUCCUUGAAAUACAAGUAACCUUCAGCAUCCUAUAUCAUGUUUGGCUUUUUUUCAGCUGUGCUGAAGAAAAACCUUACAACUGUGUUGUCACUUGAAUUUUGACAUUUAACUAUAGCAACGUUAAACAAGCAGAAACGUCCAGCUUUUGCUUCUCAGGAAAAGCAGAAGAAUCACUUACACAUGUGCAGAGAUAACCUUUGCUUACUCUGUUUGGCACGUCUGAUCACAUUUUGUUCUUUUUCAGUACCCAGAGCCUUGUUCUUGAAGCGUAUUGAACGGUGCUACUUUGGCCCUGCUUUAGAAUUCCUGAAUGUUGUGCUUGAUAUAUUUGAAUCCAUCUGUUUCUUGAACGGUAGUUGUUCGUUCCUUUUGUGUUAUUUUCCAUGUUUAAUUUUCAGCUUUGCCUCGUGAGCACUCUUUUCCUUCUGUUCUUUCUUUUCUGAACACCUUUCACGGAGUAUAAAAGCUCCCUUUGAUUGAACAUUAAGACUUUUGCAGUCUCUCUGUUGCUGUAAAAUUGUAGAAAUGCUUUAUUUAUGCAAAGGAGAUUUCUGUAAAGUCACUCCUAACGAAAUCAGAGACGUUUCUCAAGCGUCUCAAAGUAGCCAGCCAGUUCCAUUUCAGUUAUUGUAUGGGAGCCUGUAAUUUCUCUAGCUAAUUGCCAAGUAAAAGGCUGCCUGCCCCAAAUAUUUCAUCAGCCAAGGCAGCAUGCUAAGUAAGAACAAACAUGAAAAAUUGUCAGGCUUGCCAAAAAUUCUUCUCAUGAAGGAAGGAGCUGUUUUCUCUCUCAUUUGGGUAGAAGUCGUACUGCUGCUCACAGUUCUAGGGAGGAAAAGGGGUGCCUUUCUCAGCAUGUGAUAAUAAGCUCCGAUUGAUGAAUUCUGAUUCCUCGUCUCAUUCUGGUGGCACUAAAAAUAUGCAUGGCAUCUUCCGCUCUGUUAGCUUCUCUGAUAGGCUAGGGUGGCUGAAGCUGUCUUCAGUCAGUCAUAUUUUGAUCAUUUAAAGCCCAAUCUUGAAACUCAUGACAGGUGAGAAAAAGAGGAAGGACGUGGUAAAAUUGUACAGUUGCUAGGUUCACUUUUGUUUCAUUCUGUUUCAGUUCCAGUACACAAGUAUCUUAUCUUCACCAGAUAAGACAAAAGAAAACAGAACACCUAACAAGGAUUCAUAGCCAAUAUUUGCUGUAGCUUUCUGAAUCCCCUUAAAACUGGGAUGCCCGUACCUCAUUUGUGAAAGCAUUUUGGUCUUUCUGAAGUGGGUUUUUUGUUUUGUUUUUAAAGACACUACCAUGGAUAAUUCUUGACUACCACUGAAAACCCCACCUGUCAGAAGCUGGUUCGUACAUAGGGUGGAUAAAUUCUUGCAAAUCUAUAUUGUAUCCAUGCCAGCUCAGGAGAGAAAGGUGGGGUAUAAAUCCAAACUCCUCCUCCUCCUUUGAUGAUGAUGAUGCUUGGUAGCUUUUAAGGAGGCCAGCUUCAAUACUAGAAGUCAUCUCAUUUGGCCAGCAUCCAAACAAACCCAGGAAAAACCACUACAAGGGUGAUGCAGUUUCCUUGAGAAGAAUUUAGUAAGCCUAGACAUCUUCUCUGUCUCCUUCUCCCCUCUUCCUUCCAGAACUAUGCAACUUUUUUAUGUUACUAGAAAGGGCUAUAGACAAGCCUCUGUUUAAAUAUUUGCACCUUUUUUUUUUGCAAGAGGCAGUCACUCAGAGCUAAGUAACAGGCUGUGGUUUAUAUUAAGACUCUAGAUCCUGCCUAGAGUCUUAAUAUAAAGACUUAAUAUAAAGACUGCCAUUGCUUCAUUCGGUCUACCUUUUAUGGGUGUCCAGCAUUUCCAUUCUGCAUGGUAGUUACUUGCCUGAUUGCCUUUGGUGACUAAUAAUAAUUCCCAGGUGAUCAGGAAGGGAAGGGGUUUUUUUUUUGUAAACUUGAAGGAAGUUGGUUCUAUGGUCCCUUCCGCACAUAUAGAAUCUUGCACUUUCAAUCCACUUUCAUGAUUGUUUGCAAGGAGAUUUUGCUAUUCCGCACAGUAAAAUCCAGCCGCAAAGUGAAUUGAAAGUGGAUUGAAAGUGCAUUAUUCUGCAUGUGCGGAAGGGGCCUUUGUUUCACGCAAAAUGGUUAAGAGAAAUAUCCCUUGACUACUCGCCUGUAUGCCUCUUGUGGGCUAAUUUGAGGGUAGCCAAGUUUUUAGCAUAAUAACAUUUGACAAACCUUGAUUUUUCUGCAGCCUGUUGCAUUUGAACUGCAUUUUUAGAAAGUUUGGUUUUUCUUUUAGCAUUUCGGUUUCAGUUUCUGAGAACUAUGGCCAUGUGAACUAAGCCUCCUUCCCAUAUUUGCUCACUUAGAGUGAAUAAAAUUCAUAGUCUUGACUUCUGCGUUGUUAAAAACCACCAUCCAAAGGAAGUGACGUUCCACUGAAAUAAACUCAGAGUUCAACUAGGUUUUUUCCCCAGUUCAUUCCAGAGGGAUAGUUAUUUUACUCUAUUGUCGAGAAGCAGGAAGGGAAAUGGCACAGUAAAGAGUAGCAAAAUGUUUAUUCUUAACUUUUUCAAUGGCUUGGCUCUUUGACCCUGCUACUUUACAACUUUUUCAUACAUUUCUGUGUGUCUACCUUCUGAGGAGCCACUUUGUGCAUCUGUGGGUGUAUGCUGUAGACCCAGUCUUCAGCCAAGGAAGAUCAUGAACCCCUUUUUUUGUUUUUGUUUUCCUGCUUUCUGGAGGGACCUGGAACUAAUGCAUGCAUGCAGAGAAUACGGUCAGCAUACAUCCUACCUUGCCUUUUAUACCCACUGAGAGGUAAAGGAGGACCUUGAGGUAAAGUUACUCAGCUUUGGGGAGGAUUCCUUUUUAGAGCAAACAGAUUCCAGGAUGCACGCCCCUCCAUCGUCCACACAUGUAGUUUCUUUUGCCUUCUGCCUUGGCCUGGCCAUUCCCCCAUCUCUGUCAGUUGGUCCUCCAGUACACUGUGGGCUUCCAGUCCACCCUGCCCCCUCCCAACAGUGAGAUCAUAGCUCUGGCGUCUCUUCUUGUUACACGAUUUCGGUCACUUCUGUUGCAUUUUGAAUUUCAGCGGGUCCUGUGCUGCCACCUGGGUGUUUAAAGGCAAGUCCUGCAUCUGGAAGCAUUAAAGACCUCCGUUCUAGUCUGUGAAAGCUUUUUUGCUGAAAUAAAAGCUUCAAGUUGAUGCAAAGCUUUCCAUUGGUGUUUGCGUGCCCUGAUUUUCUCUUGUUUGUGCUGUCAGCCUCAGCCUUCUUUACAGGUAGACUCCAAGAGAUCGAUGUAAAUACGUUGCUUUGUUUUUGUUAAUUGAAAACAUAACGAGUUUGUAUGGCUGCUCACAUAUAGCCAAGCCAGAAGCUAUUUUUAUAGUCCUUGUUCUUCGAUGCAUCUACAGUGUUUCUUAACAGAUGUGCAAUUUAUUUAAGGAAACAUACGGUUUCUUCAAACUUUGUCAAAGUGGCCUUUUCUAGGAAAAGCACACCGUAUCUGGAUAACCGUUGUGAUUUAUAAUUUCAAAAUUAUUUUUUUGUUUGCAUUGAUUGAAUUUGUAUGUGUUUUUUAAAACAAUCAGAUGUCUUGUGCCAUGAGUUUGCAGGCGUAGUGAAAAAGAAGUCACGUUUUCCAUCAUCGUACGCUGCUUAUAUCUGAACUGCUAAGGGGCAGCUAAUGCUUUUCAGUUUUGGAACAUUUCCCUGUAGCAAACAGAGUGAUCGAGUCCUAACUCCUGCAGACAUUUAAGUAAUACUAAAAGGCACUUGGAGCAUCACAGAGGUUUGGAACAGGGCUUUUGGUCACCAGUUCCAUAGGGCAGAUGAUUCCAUCAGGGUGUUCAUUUUUUUUCUUUUAUACAUCCUUAGUGUCAGCGCAGUGAAUUGUAGAAAGCAAUCGUGGCUUUUAACAGAUUAGCUGUAAGGAGCAAUGGCAGAAGUAUAUGGUGUUAUCGCUGAGGAGGAUAUCCGACCCAAGCAAUUUACAAAAAGCAGAACGUAUCACUGUACGUGACUCAUAUUCCUGAGAACUUGUUCUUUCCACUCAUGUUUACGGUCAGAAUGCUUAAAUUUCAAAAAUUUCUUGCUGUAGUCAUUGUCUUAGAGCAGGGGUGUCAAACUCAUUCAUUAUGAGGGCUGGAUGUGACAUACAUGUGACUUGGCCAGACCCAAGAGUGUGUGGCUUCCUUGGCUGCUACCAGAAAGGCACUGGACUGGUGAGCCUGCAGCAGAGGGAGGGUGUUGCUUUGAGAGAGCUUAUCCAGCAUGUUUGACACCCCUGUCUUAGAGAUUAACCUAGCGAGGGGACUGUCUAGGAAUCAGAAUCAGUCGAGAUGUUAGAGACAGCAGCCCCAAGCAUGUUGCUCUUCCACAGUUAAAGCACAAUUGAUUUUAGUAUGCAGGUUCAACUAGGUGCUGUUGAAGAAACGUUUGGUUAAAUUGCGUACAGGCUUAUUGGAACGCUUAAUUGCAGGGGUAUAUUUGGGGGUUGAGUUUCAGUGACUCUUUGCAGAUGUACUUUCAGUUGCUUGCUCAGCGCCAUGAGAGUGUUUGCAGUGCUAAGACUGGUAGAGACUGCCAGAUUUAAUAACAAUCCCCUUGAUGUUGUCAGUGCUAAUACACAAUCCUCUAGAAACCCAAGAGAAAUAUCUAAACAGUGGACCUCCAAGGUGACUGUCCUGUUUUUGUUUUUUUUGUUUUGCCAACUCGGUCAACAGGGCUUGUUCAGAUGCCAUACUUUCCCUCACAAGGGACCUCAGCUAGUCCUGCCACGUUCCCACACUUUUGCCGUAAUGCUGAACAGACGUGCCAGAAAGCAACACUAAAAUGCAUGUGUGUGGUUGGGAUCUAUGAAACCACGCAUGAAAAUUGCCUUAUGCUGAGUCAGACCCAUGGACAGGCAACAUGACUCUGACUGGCGACAGCUCUCAAGGUCUUGGGCCAAAAUCUUCCAGAGCCCUGAACUGGGGAGGCCAGGGGGGGGUAACCUUGGGACCUUCUGCACACCGCACCGUCUCUUCUGUCAUUGAGAGGUGACACUUCCCCAGAGUCUGUGCGGAGGGAGACUUUUGCGGAAUCCCCCUUUUCAAGGAAGCUGAAGGGUAUGGUGUUCCCAUGUUCUUGCUUGCACUGGUUAACUAGCACUGGCGGCUGAGUUUUCACACUUCUGCCUCAUUUUUAUUUUUAGCUGUUGAGAAAACUAUCCUCUCCAUCGGUGCUCUUUCCUCUACCCCCCACUCAAAGUGUGACUUUCCACCUGCAUUCACUAGCGAGGGGAGGGGAUCUUCCUCAAUAUACAUUAUGGCAUCUGAACAAACCCAUCGUUAAGUAUGAGCGUGGAGUUCAUUUUUUCAGCUUUAGUUGCUCCAGAGAUUCUGUAUCUCAUACUAGCCUGGACUUAGGAGAAAACCCACCUACGUAAGAACAGAUAUGGUUGGGCUAGUUUGAAUGUCGUGCAUGCUAACUUGUACUCUUUUAUAUUUGAAGAAGAAAAAUGUGCAAUUUGAAUGGCACUUUGUGAUUGGUUAGUGAAAACUGGGCUUUGCAAUGAAACGUCGUCUUAAUGAGUAACGACAAAGUGGUGUUGUCUGUGUUCCUUGUAUAUGCUUUUCAAGUGUGUUGAUUCAUAGCUGGGUUUUUUUUAAUCUUGACUGCUCAUUUAGGGAAACAAUAAUCUUGAUCCACUGGCUCCAGGGUGCACCUAAUAUGCUGCAUGUGCAGGGACUAUGGAAUUCUCUGCUCUAACAGUAGGGAAUGACCUUGUGUACCUGCAUUUCUCUUCAUAAAGCAAAGACAGACGUCACAUUUUUAAAUAACGGUUGCAGGAGUCUGUCUUCGCCCACCUUCACUUUUACCUUGCAGAAACAUCCUUUGCAAAUAUCCCAUCCUGCAUAUGAUUAGCUCAACCUGACGACCUUGCCCCUUUUCUGUACAUUUGGUCGGUGGUUUCUGCACAGCAGUUUCCCCUGUUUUCUUUUGCACUGGAGAUUUCACCCUCCGGGAAGCAAUUGCAAACAGUCCGGGUGGCUGAGGGUCCUUUGAUUUCUUCCAAAAGAUUUAGUGAUUUUUUUGGAAAACCUGGGCUGAGGGAAAUGUAAUGGGCUGAACACUGUUUGGGGAAGAGCCCUGUGCGAAGUUCUUCCCCAAAAUGGGAUAAAUAACUUCCUCGGCCCGUUAUGUUUGGGCUGUGCAGAAACCACUAUAGUUAGGGUUGUAAACAGGCCUGGAGGAAAAUGCCCUGUCCCUUUAACAGAGGCUUAUGGGCGGUUGAAGCUUUUCAUGGGAUGAGAGGUAAAUGAUGUCAUCUGGUAAACAACAACCCAUUAAAGGGACAAAACAUUUUUCUCUGGGCUGUUGGUAACCCUAAUGAUAGUUUAUACAUUUAUCUUUAAAAAACAACAACCAUGCAGAUUCAGUCUGCACUUCCCACAACUUGGCCUUUUACCCUUUGUUCAAAUGGCAGCACUUCCAAAAGCAAACAAACAAACCCAGAAGAUGGGUGUCUUUUCCGUUCUUGCCGCAGGAGAGAAGAUGGUUUGUUUGAACCGAGUGCAUGGUCAGGGCUUCCAGACCUUUCUUCCCACACAUACACUCUACAGAUGUUGAGUCUGUCUUCAUUUCUAUAAGAAAAAAAGGGAACUCUGAAUACAUCCUGGAGUUGUAAGAAGGGGUUUGGAUCAUGAGAUGUACUGAGUCCGUUUGCUUAAGGAUCAUUUCACUCACCCCUCGUUCCCCUCCAAUGGUAUGUUUCUGUGAAUCAUCUUGCUUGUCCACCAAUAAAAGAAAAUCAGAAUUCCUUUCUUCUCAUUGGUAACACUUCAAGUUUACAUAAUCUACAGAUGCAAAAAUGCGUAUUAAAAAUGGGUCGUUGGAUUAAGUAGCACUUUGUUUACAUGUUCGGUAUCAUGUUGGGCAAGUUAAGGGUUUCCUGUUUUGUGUUUUUUUGUUUUUAAUUUAAAGCACAUGGAUUGUGCUCUGGGGCUUCGUAGCCACUGUGCAAAUUGUGGCGUAAUAUUGUACUAAGGAUAAGUGAAAGUGUGUUUUAUCUUUUUUAAUGUAGUUUGUAUUGACCGGGUUUUAUAACGUGUAAAGAGAAACGAAGAGUGUUGUAUUUUGAUCUGAGAUUUGUGUACAGUAAAGUCACUUUGCUUUAUGUAUUGGAGGUUCAUUGAAAACUUGAACUAUUUUAUAGAAGGGUAUGCAGACCAAAAUUUAAUUUGUCUUAAAGAUGUUUGAUGAACUAACCAAAUAAACAUUUUAUGGUUUGCUUACACUGA